AGGGGGGCCAAACCACCCCCAGAAAUUUUCUUGGAAAAAAUUGAGGAGAGACUUUUUUUUUCCCCCUCUCUCCUUCCUCCCAAGAGAACAAGAAAGGGGGAUUAAAAAACAUAUAUAUAUGUAUAUAAAAGUUUUCGACUUCUCUCUACCUCCCUGUCUGUUGCUUUAAAUAUAUUUAAAUUCUGAGGGGGGCGCUCAGAAAUAUUUCUCAGAGCUGAGGCACUAAGAUGGCCGCCUUGAAAUUAUUUUUAAAACAACCCCCCCUCCAGCACCGCCACCCCCUCCAUGAAAAAAGGGAGAGGGGGGGAAAAUCCCCUUUUAAAACAAAAUGGCUGGCUUAAUAUUUCAUUUUUCACCCCCCCAUUCUCCUCCCUGUUACACCCCCAUCACCAAGCCUCUACCCAGAAACCCACAAAUUUCUCCCUUUUUUCAUAACUGAUUAGUGCACAGAUUAAUAGAGAUAUUUUCCUUGUGUACUGAGUGUGUGUGUGUGUGUCUAUGCGCGUUGGGGGGGGCAUGAAGGACUUCUGCAUAAAACAAAAAUGGCUGCUGUGACUAACUCCCCCCUUAUAAAAAAAUAUUUGAGGGGGGGCAUUAAUCAGUACUCAUGCUCAGUCUGACAUCAGCAUAAAUUGUUAAAGGUUAACUAGUUAGAUACUAGUCCAACUAGAUUUAAAUUUUUUUCUUUUCUUUACUAGUCUUCCUCCCCACCUCCCUUCUCUUAAAGAAAAGCUUUUUUUUUUUUUUUCUGAAUACUUCAGAAGGGAGUGGUUUGAUGUGAAGGUUUUUUUUUCCCCUUCAGGCAUUGAAAAGGAGAAAGAUGAAAUAUAUGUUUAUGUAUAACUCUGUUUCUACAUACCUCAUUGAAGUCAAAACGCAUUUAAUUGUUAUAUUUCCCUUCCUCCAUGAUCUCCAACACUGAUAAAGUAGAAGAAACUGAGGUACCGUCAAAGAGAAAAGUAACUGGGACUGAGAAAAAGAAAGAGGUCUCAGCUUGAGAUGAUGCUUCUCCAGAAAUCCUUCCCUGAUCUCCCCAGACUGGGUUUAGAUGUUCCUG